GACGAACGCUGGCGGCGUGCCUAAUACAUGCAAGUAGAACGCUGAAGAGAGGAGCUUGCUCUUCUUGGAUGAGUUGCGAACGGGUGAGUAACGCGUAGGUAACCUGCCUUGUAGCGGGGGAUAACUAUUGGAAACGAUAGCUAAUACCGCAUAACAAUGGAUGACACAUGUCAUUUAUUUGAAAGGGGCAAUUGCUCCACUACAAGAUGGACCUGCGUUGUAUUAGCUAGUAGGUGAGGUAAUGGCUCACCUAGGCGACGAUACAUAGCCGACCUGAGAGGGUGAUCGCCCACCUGGGAACGAGACACGGCCCCGACCUCCAACGGAGGGCGCCGGAGGGGAAUUUUCGGAAUUGGGGGCAACCCUAACCGGGCACCGCGGCUGGGGGGAGGAAGGUUUUCGGUUGGUAAGCUCUGUUGUAAGUCAAGAACGGGUGUGAGAGUGGAAAGUUCACACUGUGACGGUAGCUUACCAGAAAGGGACGGCUAACUACGUG
rnacentral:rRNA from 1 species